rnacentral:rRNA from 1 species
CCGGCGACCGGCGCACGGGUGAGUAACACGUAUGCAACCUGCCCUCUUCAGGGGGACAACCUUCCGAAAGGGAGGCUAAUCCCGCGUAUAUCGGUUUCGGGCAUCCGAGAUCGAGGAAAGAUUCAUCGGAAGAGGAUGGGCAUGCGGCGCAUUAGCUAGACGGCGGGGUAACGGCCCACCGUGGCGACGAUGCGUAGGGGUUCUGAGAGGAAGGCCCCCCACACUGGUAUGAGACACGGACCAGACUCCUACGGAAGGCAGCAG